rnacentral:lncRNA from 1 species
GGGUGAGUUCUUGUAAGAAAACGUUCCUAGCAUGACUUUGGUGGAGGAUUCGAUGGUGUACAGGUGAUGGUGCUAUCAAUUUCUUGAGAAGGAAUUGAGCAGUGGACUUGUGGAGUUGACUGUAGCACUACAAGUUGGAAAGGACCCUGAUCUAUCCCAUAUGGAUCACCAUUGGAGGGCUUCUACUUUGGAGUCUUGUGGAGAUCACUUAGUUACCUGUUCAUUAGAUCCUCAUCUUCAGAAUGGUAUGAUCUCUUAC